CCUACGGGGGGCUGUAGUGGGGAAUAUUGGACAAUGGGGGGAACCCUGAUCCAGCCAUGCCGCGUGUGUGAAGAAGGCCCUCGGGUUGUAAAGCACUUUCAGUGAGGAAGAACGCCUGGUGGUUAAUACCCAUCAGGAAAGACAUCACUCACAGAAGAAGCACCGGCUAACUCCGUGCCAGCAGCCGCGGUAAUACGGAGGGUGCGAGCGUUAAUCGGAAUUACUGGGCGUAAAGCGCGCGUAGGUGGCUUGAUAAGCCGGUUGUGAAAGCCCCGGGCUCAACCUGGGAACGGCAUCCGGAACUGUCAAGCUAGAGUGCAGGAGAGGAAGGUAGAAUUCCCGGUGUAGCGGUGAAAUGCGUAGAGAUCGGGAGGAAUACCAGUGGCGAAGGCGGCCUUCUGGACUGACACUGACACUGAGGUGCGAAAGCGUGGGUAGCAAACAGGAUUAGAUACCCUUGUAGUC
rnacentral:rRNA from 1 species